rnacentral:rRNA from 1 species
UACGAAGGGGGCUAGCGUUGCUCGGAAUGACUGGGCGUAAAGGGCUCGUAGGCGGCCAACUAAGUCAGACGUGAAAUCCCUCGGCUUAACCGGGGAACUGCGUCUGAUACUGGAUGGCUUGAGUUUGGGAGAGGGAUGCGGAAUUCCAGGUGUAGCGGUGAAAUGCGUAGAUAUCUGGAGGAACACCGGUGGCGAAGGCGGCAUCCUGGACCAACACUGACGCUGAGGAGCGAAAGCCAGGGGAGCAAACGGG